UAGUCCCUUGCAGCGACAGCAGAUGGCUCCCCAAGCGCGCACAUGGCGAUAUUUGUUGCCGCCGCUCUACACUACUACCUGUCGACUGAGAAAAUGUUGAGGGUACGGCACUUGGGUGAAGAAUUGUCCAACUCGUCAUAGUGAUAGCAACAUACACCAAAUCUGCAUCAGAUUAUGCAUUGAAUGGCUUUCAAAUGACAUAAUUUCCAAGUUCUUCAGGGUUAUACUAUGAUAAUAUAGGACAAAUAAAGAGAUACAGCACUA